UCGGGAAUAUUGCGCAAUGGAGGAAACUCUGACGCAGUGACGCCGCGUAUAGGAAGAAGUUUUUCGGAAUGUAAACUAUUGUCGUUAGGGAAGAGAAAGGACGGUACCUAAGGAGGAAGCCCCGGCUAACUAUGUGCCAGCAGCCGCGGUAAUACAUAGGGGGCGAGCGUUAUCCGGAAUUAUUGGGUGUAAAGGGUGCGUAGACGGGAAAUUAAGUUAGUUGUGAAAUCCCUUGGCUUAACUGAGGAACUGCAACUAAAACUGAUUUUCUUGAGUAUUGGAGAGGAAAGUGGAAUUCCUAGU
rnacentral:rRNA from 1 species